rnacentral:lncRNA from 1 species
CUUUUUUUUUUUUUUUUUUUUUGGGUUUUCGUUGCAUAUGAAGGUCCAAGUUAAUGAUUGUGUGUAACUCCUGAUUAAAAUGCAAAGCUUGUCUAAACUUUAAAAGAUAUUAGACAAGGAAAAGAUAUUAUUGGUAAAAGAGGGGAAAAAACUCAUCAAUGUAUAUAGAGAUAAACCAAUUUUAAGCAAAUGAUUAGACAAGUCUAAAAUUUUGCAGGGGCUUGAGUUGUGUUGGGUGGUAAAAUGAGAGGUACUGUUAACCAAAAAAAGGGUCUAAAAUCUUGCCUUGCAAAGAAGAGAAUCAGAGGAGAAAAAGCUUUCCUCCCAACCAGGUACUUAGAGCCGUCAUUUGACAUGUAGCCUGUAGGAUUCGGAGGUCAGAAUUUAGGGUUAAUUUCGUCCUUCACGGUCAUUUUCAGAGAAACCUAGGGAAGAAAAGCCUUUCUUCUCUUCUUCCUGCCUGCAUUUGGAAAUAUCUGCAUGAUCCCGAAUACUUUCCAGGGCAAAUUAAACAAUUCUAUAGUUGUGUUAAUCUCAUGGAAUCAUUGUGAAGCACCAUGUGUUUUCAGAAUUUAUCACGAAGACAUUGGAAUGAAAAACCAUUAAUGGACGAUAAAUUCCCCUACCUGAAAGAGUCUGCAUCAGGUUAAAAGUCUCCAAGAUGGAGAAUUUAUCUGUGCCACUUGGAAGUCUACUCUAUCGAAACUCACAAGCUGACAACUGCCUCGAAUUAUAUAUAUCUAUAUAUAUAUAUAUAGAGAGAGAGAGAGAGAGAGAGAGAGAGAGAGAGAGAAAUUGCUGGCAGUAUUCCCAGAGCUGAAGGCCUCUUUUUUUUCACUUCAGAAAACAGGAAUUGGGCAACCCGAGCAACGAACAAUAGGGCAUAAGCACUUGUACCAGCACCAUUGUUGGCAUGAUCUUCUCCCUCAAAAUCAAAUGGUAAAUGAUAUAUUUCUGCAGCUAUUUGUGCCCGCGUUGCCUGAAUUAUCAUACAGCUUAUCGACAUCCUUGCCACAAAAACGGUAAGACCCGAAUUAUCUAUAGACAUCUCUGCAAGUAAACGUGCCUCAUGACCCACAACUGGCUAAUUGGUGAGUCCCAAGGGAUUCAAUUUCGAUAAUCUCAUGCAAAAUAAAGGGAGUAUAGAAUUCGAAAGCUUUUUUGUCGGGUAUGAACCAGCUCUGCAAUCAAAACAACGUUCCGCACAUUAAGAUGAUUAGCACCAUCUUACAGAAAGUUACAGAAGAAAUAGUUGUCAAUAUGACAUUAAGUAUGCUUAACUUGCACAAAUAUUGCCCAAAUGUCUACAUCAGGAAGGAUAGAACCAGACAUAAAACUCAGGAUAAGUCAAACCCAUAGCCCUUACAAAUUUAAACGCAGAGUCAGAAACAAUCAAGUCAAUUAUGAGUCCAAUGCCAACUUCUUACUGUACAAGAGAAUGUACAUCUAGAUGCCUGUUACAGAACCAGACAUGGUCAUUGAGACUCCUGAGAGAAUCUAAGUCUGCACAGUCCUGAAUCCUAAAACAUCUACCUGCAUUGCCAAGUAUCAGCAACUUUACACAGGCAAUUGUUUAUCUCCAACACGAUUUUAUUCAUCUUCCAACUCCACAAUCUGUG